rnacentral:tRNA from 1 species
AGUAGUGCAUUAGGUUUAAAAUCUAAAAAUGAUAAUAAAUUAUCCUAUAUUA